CGCCUGGGGAGUGCGGCCGCAAGGUUAAAACUCAAAUGAAUUGACGGGGGCCCGCACAAGCGGUGGAGCAUGUGGUUUAAUUCGACGCAACGCGAAGAACCUUACCUGGCCUUGACAUGCAGAGAACUUUCCAGAGAUGGAUUGGUGCCUUCGGGAACUCUGACACAGGUGCUGCAUGGCCGUCGCCAGCUCGUGUCGUGAGAUGUUGGGUUAAGUCCCGUAACGAGCGCAACCCCUAUCCCUAGUUGCUAGCAGUUCGGCUGAGAACUCUAGGGAGACUGCCGGUGACAAACCGGAGGAAGGUGGGGAUGACGUCAGGUCAUCAUGGCCCUUACGGCCAGGGCUAGACACGUGCUACAAUGGUGCGCACAGAGGGCUGCAAACCCGCGAGGGGGAGCCAAUCUCACAAAACGCAUCGUAGUCCGGAUCGCAGUCUGCAACUCGACUGCGUGAAGUCGGAAUCGCUAGUAAUCGUGAAUCAGAAUGUCACGGUGAAUACGUUCCCGGGCCUUGUACACACCGCCCGUCACACCAUGGGAGUGGAUUGCACCAGAAGUGGUUAGUCUAACCUUCGGGAGGACGAUCACCACGGUGUGGUUCAUGACUGGGGUGAAGUCGUAACAAGGUAACCGUA
rnacentral:rRNA from 1 species